GGGGAUAUAGCUCAGUUGGUAGAGUGCUUGCCUAGCAAGCACAUAAGCCCUGGGUUCAAUCCCCAGUACCACCA